UAAAUUGAGAGUUUGAUCCUGGCUCAGGACGAACGCUGGCGGCGUGCCUAACACAUGCAAGUCGAGCGAUGAAGCCUUCGGGGCGAUUAGGCGGCGGACGGGUGAGUAACA
rnacentral:ncRNA from 1 species